rnacentral:rRNA from 1 species
AUAACCUACGGGAGGCAGCAGUGGGGAAUAUUGCACAAUGGGGGAAACCCUGAUGCAGCGACGCCGCGUGAGCGAAGAAGUAUUUCGGUAUGUAAAGCUCUAUCAGCAGGGAAGAAAAUGACGGUACCUGAGUAAGAAGCUCCGGCUAAAUACGUGCCAGCAGCCGCGGUAAUACGUAUGGAGCAAGCGUUAUCCGGAUUUACUGGGUGUAAAGGGAGCGUAGACGGCUGUGCAGGUCUGAAGUGAAAGCCCGUGGCUCAACCGCGGAACUGCUUUGGAAACUGUGUAGCUUGAGUACUGGAGAG